GAUGAACGCUGGCGGCGUGCCUAAUACAUGCAAGUCGAGCGAACGGACGAGAAGCUUGCUUCUCUGAUGUUAGCGGCGGACGGGUGAGUAACACGUGGAUAACCUACCUAUAAGACUGGGAUAACUUCGGGAAACCGGAGCUAAUACCGGAUAAUAUUUUGAACCGCAUGGUUCAAAAGUGAAAGACGGUCUUGCUGUCACUUAUAGAUGGAUCCGCGCUGCAUUAGCUAGUUGGUAAGGUAACGGCUUACCGAGGCAACGAUGCAUAGCCGACCUGAGAGGGUGAUCGGCCACACUGGAACUGAGACACGGUCCAGACUCCUACGGGAGGCAGCAGUAGGGAAUCUUCCGCAAUGGGCGAAAGCCUGACGGAGCAACGCCGCGUGAGUGAUGAAGGUCCUCGGAUCGUAAAACUCUGUUAUUAGGGAAGAACAUAUGUGUAAGUAACUGUGCACAUCUUGACGGUACCUAAUCAGAAAGCCACGGCUAACUACGUG
rnacentral:rRNA from 1 species